UAGUUACACUGGGAACCUGUCCGGGUGGCU
rnacentral:piRNA from 1 species